rnacentral:rRNA from 1 species
AUGAGCGUUUUCUUGGGCCAUCCUAGAAACAUAGAUAGGGUCAACGACGGAACGAAUAACGAAACUUUACGACAGCUUUUUCGUACACGUUCACUUGCAUCACAUACACAAGUGCUCUCUGAACCGUGCAAUAAGAUCCCGCCUGCUUGCAGAAAUGAAUGGAUCAGAAAGGGGGCUGGGUUCUAUUUCCGGGCCGGGCAGGAGGUGAAGGCCAGAAGAAGAAGAGAAGUGCGCCUUCCCGGUAAGGAAGAGGAUAAAAAGGUGAUAAGCAAGUGUAGUUCACCGGUUCCACCGAAUGCUCCUAUCUCUCGGCAAAGAUUGUGUGAGUGUGCAGUUAUGCUUCGGAUGCUUCGCCAUGGAAUAGAUCGAUUCAGUUCCCCUUCUUUUCCGGUGCACUCGCUUUGUAUCUCCGACACACAAGGAAGGACGCGGUGGGAAGAAAGCUGCCCUAGCCUCUGUCUGGUCGAUCAUUCCGCUGGCAUCUUGCAUUCACGCCUCCGUUUGACUGCCGCUCGGGAAUGUAGUUGUAGAUACUCGUCGCCAUAUUCAAUAUGUCACUUAGUCAUAUCUGCCUCGCAGCGGGUCAGCACCUUCGAAAGAAAGGGAGGGAGGACUUCAUUCAGUGACUCCGUGAUCGCCCUAUAA